rnacentral:rRNA from 1 species
GUUAGCAGAAAGUGGCGAACGGGUGAGUAACGCGUGGGUAAUCUACCCUGUUAAGUGGGGGAUAACCCUCCGAAAGGAGGGCUAAUACCGCAUAAUAUCUUCUCCUCUAAAAGAGGUAAAGAUUAAAGAUGGCCUCUAUACUAUGCUAUCACUUCAGGAUGAGCCCGCGUCCUAUUAGUUAGUUGGUGGGGUAAUGGCCUACCAAGACCACAAUGGGUAGCCGGUCUGAGAGGAUGUACGGCCACACUGGGACUGAGAUACGGCCCAGACUCCUACGGGAGGCAGCAGUGGGGAAUAUUGCGCAAUGGGGGAAACCCUGACGCAGCGACGCCGCGUGGAUGAUGAAGGCCCUUGGGUUGUAAAAUCCUGUUCUGGGGGAAGAAAGCUUAAAGGUCCAAUAAACCCUUAAGUCUGACGGUACCCCAAGAGAAAGCUCCGGCUAAUUAUGUGCCAGCAGCCGCGGUAAUACAUAAGGAGCAAGCGUUAUCCGGAAUUAUUGGGCGUAAAGAGCUCGUAGGCGGUCUUAAAAGUCAGUUGUGAAAUUAUCAGGCUCAACCUGAUAAGGUCAUCUGAAACUUUAAGACUUGAGGUUAGAAGAGG